rnacentral:lncRNA from 1 species
UUUUGACCAAACACCUGGACACUAUAGCCUCACAAAAUUGACACAUAAAAUGUAACUAUCACUGACUGCAUCAACCCAAGAGGCUAACAGUGAAAUAAGACCAUGACAAGCUAAUUUUCACAUGUUGAAGGAAAACCCAACAGAGACACUCUAUAAAGUUAGGUGAGGUCCAGGUAGAAUGCUCAACUCACAUAAGAGAAGGGGAGCAUCAUGAGGACUGAGUCCUGAGUUCUUAGAAACAGGUGAGGGAUGCAGUCUUGGGCUCCUGAAGGACUAAAGUCAGGAAAAUUCAAGGAGCUGGGGAAUAGAGAUCCAAGUGCAGAGAAGGCAACGACGGGAGAUUUGGAAUAGGGAACGCUGAGUCACCAGAAAUGGAAACUCCAAGUUAUAGAGAGCUCCUGGACCAGCAGUAAGAUAGAGACUCUGAGCAGCUGGGUCAGAAGAAAUCAUGGGCAAGUGUCCAGGCCUUCAAGACACAGCAACCAGGAGAAGGCUGAGAGGCCAAACCCAGGCAUGUUCAAGAUCACCAAGAAGGGGCAUCCUGGCCAGGAAGGUGGAGUGGUGGGUUUUCAUUCAACAAAUAUUUACUGUUUACCUACAAGCGUUGUGCCAAGCCCUUUGCUGGACACUAGCGUGUUACAAUCCCUGACCUCGCUGUAAAGCCAGUGGACAGUGUUAAGGAGCUCGCACGGAACUGGAACCAGGGGAAGUGCUAUGACACAGGACACAUCUGCUGGGGAAACCCAGCGGGCAGCAAUUAACUUGCGGUGGGGGA